AUGAACGCUGGCGGCGUGUCUAAGGCAUGCAAGUCGAGUGGGUUCAGACCCACGGCAAACGGGAGCGUAACACAUUGGUAACUUGCCCCUAACUGGAGGAUAACCCGCCGAAAGGCGGAGUAAUACUCCAUUAAUUGUCGCGUCGCAGGGCGCGCCAAUAAAGAUUUAUCGGUUAGGGAGAGGCCUAUGGUCUAUCAGCUAGUUGGCAGUGUAAAAGACUACCAAGGCUAUGACGGAUAUCGGGUGUGAGAGCACGACCCGACUCACUGGGACUGAGAAACUGCCCAGACACCUACGGGUGGCUGCAGUCAAGAAUAUUCCUCAAUGGGCGAAAGCCUGAAGGAGCGACGCCGCGUGACUGAAGAAGUCCUUCGGGAUGUAAAGGUCUUUUCUCCGGGACGAAACAAUGACGGUACCGGAGGAAUAAGAGGUUGCUAACUCUGU
rnacentral:rRNA from 1 species